GUAAUUCCCCAUUGUGUCGUCAUACGCAGCAUUUAAAGGUAAUUUCCCAUUGUGCUGUCAUACGCAGCAUUUAAAGGUAAUUUCCCAUUGUGUCGUCAUACGCAGCAUUUAAAGGUAAUGUCCCAUUGUGUCGUCAUACGCAGCAUUUAAAGGUAAUUUCCCAUUGUGCUGUCAUACGCAGCAUUUAAAGGUAAUUUCCCAUUGUGUCGUCAUACGCAGCAUUUAAAGGUAAUUCCCCAUUGUGUCGUCAUACGCAGCAUUUAAAGGUAAUUCCCCAUUGUGCUGUCAUACGCAGCAUUUAAAGGUAAUGUCCCAUUGUGUCGUCAUACGCAGCAUUUAAAGGUAAUUCCCCAUUGUGUCGUCAUACGCAGCAUUUAAAGGUAAUUUCCCAUUGUGUCGUCAUACGCAGCAUUUAAAGGUAAUUUCCCAUUGUGUCGUCAUACGCAGCAUUUAAAGGUAAUGUCCCAUUGUGUCGUCAUACGCAGCAUUUAAAGGUAAUUUCCCAUUGUGUCGUCAUACGCAGCAUUUAAAGGUAAUUUCCCAUUGUGUCGUCAUACGCAGCAUUUAAAGGUAAUUUCCCAUUGUGUCGUCAUACGCAGCAUUUAAAGGUAAUUCCCCAUUGUGUCGUCAUACGCAGCAUAUAAAGGUAAUUUCCCAUUGUGUCGUCAUACGCAGCAUUUAAAGGUAAUUCCCCAUUGUGUCGUCAUACGCAGCAUUUAAAGGUAAUUUCCCAU